CAGAAACUAACNAGGAUUCCUUUAGUAGCGGCGAGCGAAGCGGGAAGAGCCCAUCGCCGAAUCCCCGGGGGCGCGAGUCCUCGAGGGAAAUGUGGCGUGAGGAAGUCCGUUGCCGCGGCCGCGGCGGCGCCGAGGUCCUUCUGAUCGAGGCCUCUUCCGUCCCACGGCGGGUGUCAGGCCCCUGCGGGCGCCGUCCGGUCGCGGAACCAAGGCUUCCAGGAGUCGGGUUGUUUUGUAGCGCAGCCCAAAGGCGGGUG
rnacentral:rRNA from 1 species